rnacentral:rRNA from 1 species
CUUGGUCAUUUAGAGGAAGUAAAAGUCGUAACAAGGUUUCCGUAGGUGAACCUGCGGAAGGAUCAUUAGUGAUUAAUUAUUGAGUGUAAAAAACUCAUAAUCUUCUAUACAAACCACUGUUUUAAAAUGUUUACUAGAAUGUCCAAGCAGUUAAGCUGUUGAAAUAUUGAAAGUUUAAUAAAACUUUCAGCAACGGAUCUCUUGGUUCAGGCAUCGAUGAAGAACGCAGCGAAAUGCGAUAAGUAAUGUGAAUUGCAGAUACAGUGAAUCAUCGAAUCUUUGAACGCAAAUGGCACUCUAUGGUAUUCCGUAGAGUACGUCUGUUUGAGCGUCGCGAACAUCUCCAUAAUUAGUUUUUUUUUAAAUUGAUUGUGGGUUUUGAGGUUGUCAUAUAACAGUGACUCCCUUUAAAAUAAUUAGUGAUGACCUUAUGAAUGGGUUAAUACUGUGUGUUAUAAUGGAUUACAUCCAUCACCAGUCAGAGAGUAAUCUCGCCUUAGUAAUUUGUAGUGAUUGCUUCUAACUGCCAUUGGCAAACAAACUGAUCAAAUCGACCUCAAAUCAGAUGGGAUUACCCGCUGAACUUAAGCAUAUCAAUAAGCGGAGGA